ACACACACAGCAACAACAGAGUUUGGGGAAAGAGAAGCAAAUGAAAAGCUAUCGUUGAUUUCUCUCUCCAACUCCUCUUACAAGAGACGGAAUGUGAUAUUGGGGAUGUGGGCAAUCUUGUAGCGAUCUUCUCCUCCUUCUCGGCAGCGUUCUUCUAAGACUGGACAUCUCCAGAUGUGUAAUUUUUGAAGCAUGGUGAGGUGUUGCAACUCCUUUGGUAGAGAUCUUAAAUUAGAACAAAACAUGAUCUCCAGAGUUUUGAGGGCUUUGAGUUGUCCCAACCAAUCACAUGGGAACGAUGUCAGCUC